UACGUAGGGAGCAAGCGUUGUCCGGAAUCAUUGGGCGUAAAGCGCGCGUAGGCGGCCCUGUAAGUCCGUUGUGAAAGUCAAAGGCUCAACCUUUGAAAGCCGAUGGAUACUGCAGGGCUAGAGUCCGGAAGAGGCGAGUGGAAUUCCUGGUGUAGCGGUGGAAUGCGCAGAUAUCAGGAGGAACACCGGUGGCGAAGGCGGUUCUCUGGGCAUGACCUGACGCUGAGGAGCGAAAGCAUGGGGAGCGAACAGG
rnacentral:rRNA from 1 species